rnacentral:rRNA from 1 species
AGAGUUUGAUCCUGGCUCAGGAUGAACGCCGGCGGUGUGCCUAAUACAUGCAAGUCGUACGCACUGGCCCAACUGAUUGAUGGUGCUUGCACCUGAUUGACGUUGGAUCACCAGUGAGUGGCGGACGGGUGAGUAACACGUACGUAACCUGCCCCGGAGCGGGGGAUAACAUUUGGAAACAGAUGCUAAUACCGCAUAACAACAAAAGCCGCAUGGCUUUUGUUUGAAAGAUGGCUUUGGCUAUCACUCUGGGAUGGACCUGCGGUGCAUUAGCUAGUUGGUAAGGUAACGGCUUACCAAGGCGAUGAUGCAUAGCCGAGUUGAGAGACUGAUCGGCCACAAUGGAACUGAGACACGGUCCAUACUCCUACGGGAGGCAGCAGUAGGGAAUCUUCCACAAUGGGCGCAAGCCUGAUGGAGCAACACCGCGUGAGUGAAGAAGGGUUUCGGCUCGUAAAGCUCUGUUGUUGGAGAAGAACGUGCGUGAGAGUAACUGUUUACGCAGUGACGGUAUCCAACCAGAAAGUCACGGCUAACUACGUGCCAGCAGCCGCGGUAAUACGUAGGUGGCAAGCGUUAUCCGGAUUUAUUGGGCGUAAAGCGAGCGCAGGCGGUUGCUUAGGUUUGAUGUGAAAGCCUUCGGCUUAACCGAAGAAGUGCAUCGGAAACCGGGCGACUUGAGUGCAGAAGAGGACAGUGGAACUCCAUGUGUAGCGGUGGAAUGCGUAGAUAUAUGGAAGAACACCAGUGGCGAAGGCGGCUGUCUGGUCUGCAACUGACGCUGAGGCUCGAAAGCAUGGGUAGCGAACAAAAUUAGAUACCCUGGUAGUCCAUGCCGUAAACG